rnacentral:tRNA from 1 species
GGGCGUGUUCGUGUGGACGUUCACGCAGAGCUCGCUCAUGGCGGGCACCCGGGCCAUCUCCGGCAACCUCGGCCUGGUGCGGGCCCUGCACUUCCC